CAGCAGCCGCGGUAAUACGUAUGUCCCGAGCGUUAUCCGGAUUUAUUGGGCGUAAAGCGAGCGCAGACGGUUUAUUAAGUCUGAUGUGAAAGCCCGGAGCUCAACUCCGGAAUGGCAUUGGAAACUGGUUAACUUGAGUGCAGUAGAGGUAAGUGGAACUCCAUGUGUAGCGGUGGAAUGCGUAGAUAUAUGGAAGAACACCAGUGGCGAAGGCGGCUUACUGGACUGCAACUGACGUUGAGGCUCGAAAGUGUGGGUAGCAAACAGGAUUAGAUACCCGCGUAGUCCCUGUCUCUUAUAC
rnacentral:rRNA from 1 species